rnacentral:tRNA from 1 species
GGGCCGUUGGAGCAGAUGGAUAGCUCGUCGCGUUCUCAGCGCGAAGAUCAGGGGUUCGAGUCCCCUACGGCCUGC